CAGAGAGUCACAGAGGUAAGUGACUGUGGGGUAGAGAUCAUUACCACAUUUACCAGUUAUGGAAAUUGACAGUUCUUGACAAGGGCUCAGCCAUUCUACCCAGAAAAUGGAGACAAUAACGCCUACCUGAGUCGAACAUGUUCUGUGACAAGGCACAUGUAACUGCUUGGAGAAGCAGGAUUUAAUGCUUGCCCUUGUCGUAAUAAAAUAAUAAAAUAAGCCUUGAACUAGAAGUCAAUUUGAAGACACUGAAGUCUGUAUCAUAAGGAAUGAGUAUCCAUGGACUAUGUAUGUGAUAUCAAGCCCAAAUACCAGGAGUUUGCAAAUGUAGAAAAGUCAUAUGAAGCCAACCAAAUCCAGCACUGGUACACAAGUCUGUCUGCAAACUGCACACCCUAAGCAUCAUUGAGUGAGCCAUUCAGAGUGGAAAUUUCAAUUUUAGCAGAGAAUCUGGUACUCAAUCAGUUACUGGAAAAUCUUUAUGUUUGCAACAACUUGGGUAUGUAGAUCUACUUUUGCAACUGCAAGGAGUAUGAAAUCCUACAUAUGGAUCACGUAUUUCCUAUAAGAGCAUAGUAACUGGAUUGAGAUGGGCUAAAAGUAUAAAAUACACACUCAUUUCUACAAUUUAGCACAAAGGAAACAGAAGGAGGACUCUGUUCUUCCUGGAUCACAUCCUUGCAACGCUCCCUAUUGGAUGAAGCCAUUACCAUUAAGGGUUGUCUAGGGAUAAUUUCAAAAAGAGAAAGCCAGAUUUGGGGAGCAAUCGGUUCCUCGAGUUAUGAGAACAUAGGAAGGCUGAAGAAAUGAGGAAAAGCAUUCGAGGAACUAGGGAAUGGGUUAAGGUCUCGACGUUGACGUUGACCAUGCACCACGCAUGUCAUUCCCAUCUCAUUGGACUCCUGACAACCUCGCAAGUGAGACUUAUCAUCUCUGGUUUUCAGGAUGGAAAACUGAGAUGAAGAAUAAUUAAGUAUGUUGCCCUAGAUCAAGGAGAUAGCAAACGCAGAUCCAGGAUCUUCACCUAGAGCACUCUCAACUUUAUUAAAUAUUAGAUACUGUUUGAUGUCAGAAACUGACUAUGAACUCCUGCAAUGUGCAUGUACUCUAUGUUGCAACUUUGCAUAUAAUAAUGAAUUUCAACCAUAUUCAACUAUAUUGCCCUAACAAUGUCACCCUGAGGUGGCCAUGUUCCCCCUCGUUGUAAGGAUGGGAUAUGAGGGUCAGAGCAUCUAAGCAGGCUGCCCAAGGAAUGCACCCUGUGGUCAAGCCCUGAUUCAAUAACAAUGCUUCUCAUUUUAAAACCCUGUGCUCUGUUCACUAAAGCCCCUUCUGAUAAAUAAACAGUAUAUAAACCUG